rnacentral:tRNA from 1 species
GGGGAUAUACCUCAGUUGGCAAAGUGCUUGCUUCAUAUGCACAAGGCCCUGGGUUCAAUCCCCAGCACCCCCC